rnacentral:rRNA from 1 species
UACGGAGGGUGCAAGCGUUAAUCGGAAUUACUGGGCGUAAAGCGCACGCAGGCGGUUUGUUAAGUCAGAUGUGAAAUCCCCGGGCUCAACCUGGGAACUGCAUUUGAAACUGGCAAGCUUGAGUCUUGUAGAGGGGGGUAGAAUUCCAGGUGUAGCGGUGUAAUGCGUAGAGAUCUGGAGGAAUACCGGUGGCGAAGGCGGCCCCCUGGACAAAGACUGACGCUCAGGUGCGAAAGCGUGGGGAGCAAACAGG